GUAGGGGGCAAGCGUUGUCCGGAAUCAUUGGGCGUAAAGAGCGCGUAGGCGGUCCGGUAAGUCCGCUGUGAAAGUCAAGGGCUCAACCCUUGAAUGCCGGUGGAUACUGUCGGGCUAGAGUCCGGAAGAGGCGAGUGGAAUUCCUGGUGUAGCGGUGAAAUGCGCAGAUAUCAGGAGGAACACCAAUGGCGAAGGCAGCUCGCUGGGACGGUACUGACGCUGAGGCGCGAAAGCGUGGGGAGCAAACAGGAUUAGAUACCCUGGUAGUCCACGCCGUAAACGAUGGGCACUAGGUGUGGGAGGUGUCGACUCCUCCCGUGCCGUAGCUAACGCAUUAAGUGCCCCGCCUGGGGAGUACGGCCGCAAGGCUA
rnacentral:rRNA from 1 species